rnacentral:tRNA from 1 species
GAGGGUACAGCUCAGUGGAAGAGUGUAUGCAUGACAUGCAUGAAAUCUUGGGUUCAAUCCCCAGUGCCUCCA